rnacentral:rRNA from 1 species
GUAUGAAUGGGCACACGAGGGCUUUACUGUCUCUUACUUCCAAUCCGUGAAAUUGACCUGCCCGUGAAGAGGCGGGAAUAUGACAAUAAGACGAGAAGACCCUAUGGAGCUUUAAUUAACCGACCCAAAGAGAUCUUGAUAAUCAACCGACAGGGAUAACAUACCUCUACCAUGGGCCGACAAUUUAGGUUGGGGUGACCUCGGAGAAUAAAACAACCUCCGAGUGAUUUAAAUCUAGACUAACUAGUCGAAAGUACUACAUCACUUAUUGAUCCAAAAACUUGAUCAACGGAACAAGUUACCCUAGGGAUAACAGCGCAAUCCUAUUUUAGAGUCCAUAUCGACAAUAGGGUUUACGACCUCGAUGUUGGA